rnacentral:rRNA from 2 species
UGGGGAAUAUUGCACAAUGGGGGAAACCCUGAUGCAGCGACGCCGCGUGAAGGAAGAAGUAUCUCGGUAUGUAAACUUCUAUCAGCAGGGAAGAAAAUGACGGUACCUGACUAAGAAGCCCCGGCUAACUACGUGCCAGCAGCCGCGGUAAUACGUAGGGGGCAAGCGUUAUCCGGAUUUACUGGGUGUAAAGGGAGCGUAGACGGAUGGACAAGUCUGAUGUGAAAGGCUGGGGCUCAACCCCGGGACUGCAUUGGAAACUGCCCGUCUUGAGUGCCGGAGAGGUAAGCGGAAUUCCUAGUGUAGCGGUGAAAUGCGUAGAUAUUAGGAGGAACACCAGUGGCGAAGGCGGCUUACUGGACGGUAACUGACGUUGAGGCUCGAAAGCGUGGGGAGCAAACA